UAAUGUAUGGGGAUCUGCCCGAUAGAGGGGGAUAACUACUGGAAACGGUGGCUAAUACCGCACAAUGUCUACGGACCAAAGCAGGGGCUCUUCGGACCUUGCACUAUCGGAUGAACCCAUAUGGGAUUAGCUAGUAGGUGGGGUAAAGGCUCACCUAGGCGACGAUCUCUAGCUGGUCUGAGAGGAUGAUCAGCCACACUGGGACUGAGACACGGCCCAG
rnacentral:rRNA from 1 species